AGCCCAGCCACUAUGGAAGUCAGAUUACACUUACAGACUACCCCGGGACCAGCUUCAGAUGAAUCCAUGUUCUCUGUCUACAGGUUCAAGUCCCUGUCCUGCUUUCACUCCCCAAGAGGCCUUCCUCAUCAGAUGCAUCUCAAGGCCUGUUCUGAUUGGCAGUGGGAAGCUCGGCUGGAGCUCUUCGGCUCUUCACUGUUCCUUUGGAAUUUACUUUGGUGGCUGAGAAAGCCCUUGGAAAGGUCAUUCCAUGGAUUAGGAGGAGAGCCGACUGCACAGCAUUACUCCGAGAACCUGUUGUGCUAGGCACUAGGGGGUCGGAGACAAAACCAGAUAGGAAAGAAAACAGGUUCUGCCUCUGCCCUGGCUCAGCCACCCCACCACACAUUUUUAUUAAAUUUUAUCCAUGCAUAUGUGAAGAAA